AUAUAGUUAAUAAAAUACGUUUAUGCUAAUUUUAAGGGAUUGAUGUGAAGUUUGUUUGGAUUAAAUUUGAUUGAUAAUGUGAUUGACAAUUUAAAUUAAAAAUUUAAAGUAAAAUUAAUUAUUUUGGAAAAUAUUUAAUGUUAAUGGCAUUGGGUUGUAAAUAAGUCCAACUCUAAGAUUUAUUUGCUAAAAUGACUGCAAAAAUGUAUAUGUAGAUAGUUAAGGAAUAAAAUCCUUAAUAAUCUGAUU
rnacentral:sRNA from 1 species